UCCCUGGCAGUCCAGUGGUUAGGACUCAGUGCUUUCACUGCCAAGGGCCUGGGUUCAAUCCCUGGUCAGGGAA
rnacentral:tRNA from 1 species